UACGUAGGGGGCAAGCGUUGUCCGGAAUCAUUGGGCGUAAAGGGCGCGUAGGCGGCUCAUGAAGGCUGUGGUGAAAGUCCGGGGCUCAACCUCGGAUCGGCCAUGGCGACUCGUGGGCUGGAGCACUGUAGAGGCGGGUGGAAUUCCGGGUGUAGCGGUGGAAUGCGUAGAGAUCCGGAAGAACACCAGUGGCGAAGGCGGCCCGCUGGGCAGUGGCUGACGCUGAGGCGCGACAGCGUGGGGAGCAAACAGG
rnacentral:rRNA from 1 species